GUCGUGGAAUCAAACGCUUUUUUGACCUCUGCUUUGAAGCGGCGAGCGGCAAUCGGAGGUGGUCUCCGCACGGCCCAGUCGCCGUCCUUCCGCUCCCCUGUCCCAGCAGAUUGACCUCUCUCGUGGCUGCGCGCUUUGAUCAUGCCUUGGGAGCGGAUGAGGACCUUGUGGUACAAAGCUAAUCAAACCCCUCUCUUCACCAGCUUCACCUAUCCAACAGAAAGAUCAGAUAUGCUACUUCCUCCUACAAAACUGGUAUUGUAAGUAACAGAGAACUGAGCACAUCUAGAACAGAAAGCAUGAAUGUAGAUCAAGCUCUUUCUCAUGCUAAGAGGUCUAACAUAUCAAAUUGUAGUACUAUAGUUGAAACCUCGAUACUUUUGGCCUUGGUACUAAGAGUACAAAAAUGGAGGAUGGCCCCACUAGUGCAGAAAGAUGCAGCUUAUUAAGAAAGUGCCCAGUUGUAACACAUCCAGCUCUGACAAGACUAAAUGUCCCAAGGAGCAGCAGAUAUUUGAUUGGACCGAGCACUUGCUGAGGUGCUGAUAAAGAAAAUGCAAUACUGGAUUCAAAGAUGGAUGUCAUAAGACCCCUCAGACAGCUGAAGCUCAUGUGAGUAUCGAUGCACCCAGGCUAUGUGAGCCUGAAUAUGCAAAAUGAUAAUUUUGAGGGGAAACAGUUCCCAAGCAUCAGGGCUAUGGCACUGAUGGGGAGAGCAAUGAGCAGUUUCCAGACUCAUCAAUUUCAGAGAAAGGUAUCAUUAGUGGUGUGGAGUGUGGAGGAGUUUUGAAAGCUACAGGACUUUGGUUUUGAAUCUCCAAUCUUCUCGUGGACUUUCAUGGCGAGAAAGAUACAAUAUUGUGGAUCAAAACACUGUUGCGGUUGAUGGAUGUGGAACAUUAUCUGAGUUGGGUGGUUGUAUUACAUCAGUAGGUUUCUUGUGGACUUUUCUUAUCUGUUGUGCUCUGAGUUCCACUGUAAGUAAUCUGACUUAUAAUCUCCUUCACAAACACCAAAACAUUGUUUUCUUGUUA